UACAGGGGGUGCAAACGUUGCUCGGAAUCAUUGGGCGUAAAGCGCACGUAGGCGGACUCUUAAGUCGGUGGUGAAAUCCUGGAGCUCAACUCCAGAACUGCCUUCGAUACUGAGAGUCUCGAGUCCGGGAGAGGUGAGUGGAACUGCGAGUGUAGAGGUGAAAUUCGUAGAUAUUCGCAAGAACACCAGUGGCGAAGGCGGCUCACUGGCCCGGUACUGACGCUGAGGUGCGAAAGCGUGGGGAGCAAACGGG
rnacentral:rRNA from 1 species